UAACAAGGAUUCCCCGASUAGCGGCGAGCGAAACGGGAACAGCCCAUCGCCGAAUCCCGCGGUCCUCACGGGCCGCCGGGAAAUGUGGCGUUCGGGGGGAGAUUUAAAUUUACUCGCGCGGUCAACCACGGCGGCCAGUCCAAGUCUACCUUGAACGGGGCCCCGCUUAUCCGCAGAGGGUGCCAGGCCCGUAGCGACGGUCGCCGGCCGCGACGGUCUCCCUUCCCCAGAGUCGGGUUGCUUGAGAGUGCAGCCCUAAGCGGGUGGUAAACUCCAUCUAAGGCUAAAUACGACCACGAGACCGAUAGCGAACA
rnacentral:rRNA from 1 species